rnacentral:rRNA from 1 species
UGAGUUUGAUCUUGGCUCAGGAUGAACGCUGGCGGCGUGCUUAACACAUGCAAGUCGAACGAACCUUCGGGUUAGUGGCGGACGGGUGAGUAACGCGUGAGAAUCUGCCCUCAGGAGGGGGAUAACGGUUGGAAACGACCGCUAAUACCCCAUAUGCCUACUGGUGAAAAGAAUUUCGCCUGAGGAUGAGCUCGCGUCUGAUUAGCUAGUUGGUGAGGUAAUGGCUCACCAAGGCUUCGAUCAGUAGCUGGUCUGAGAGGAUGAUCAGCCACACUGGGACUGAGACACGGCCCAGACUCCUACGGGAGGCAGCAGUGGGGAAUUUUCCGCAAUGGGCGAAAGCCUGACGGAGCAACGCCGCGUGAGGGACGAAGGCCUCUGGGCUGUAAACCUCUUUUCUCAAGGAAGAAGAUAUGACGGUACUUGAGGAAUAAGCCACGGCUAAUUCCGUGCCAGCAGCCGCGGUAAUACGGGAGUGGCAAGCGUUAUCCGGAAUUAUUGGGCGUAAAGCGUCCGCAGGCGGCUUUUCAAGUCUGCUGUUAAAGCGUGGAGCUUAACUCCAUCAUGGCAGUGGAAACUGAAAGGCUUGAGUAUGGUAGGGGCAGAGGGAAUUCCCGGUGUAGCGGUGAAAUGCGUAGAUAUCGGGAAGAACACCAGUGGCGAAGGCGCUCUGCUGGGCCAUUACUGACGCUCAUGGACGAAAGCCAGGGGAGCGAAAGGGAUUAGAUACCCCUGUAGUCCUGGCCGUAAACGAUGAACACUAGGUGUCGGGGGAAUCGACCCCUUCGGUGUCGUAGCUAACGCGUUAAGUGUUCCGCCUGGGGAGUACGCACGCAAGUGUGAAACUCAAAGGAAUUGACGGGGGCCCGCACAAGCGGUGGAGUAUGUGGUUUAAUUCGAUGCCACGCGAAGAACC